rnacentral:tRNA from 1 species
GCCGGUAUAGCUCAGCUGGUAGAGCAACUGACUUGUAAUCAGUAGGUCCCGGGUUCGACUCCUGGUGCUGGCACCA